rnacentral:rRNA from 1 species
GAUUAACGCUGGCGGUGCGCCUAAUACAUGCAAGUCGUGCGAGAUCAUAGAUCUAGUUUACUAAGUCUAUGUGAAAGCGGCGAACGGGUGAGUAAUACAUUGGCAUCUGCCCCUAACUCAGGGAUAACACAUCGAAAGGUGUGCUAAUACCUGAUAGUCCCGCAAGGGUAAAGCUACGGCGGUUAGGGAGGAGCCUGUGUCCUAUCAGGUUGUUGGUGAGGUAAUGGCUCACCAAGCCUAUGACGGGUAGUUGGUCUGAGAGGAUGAUCAGCCACAAUGGGACUGAGACACGGCCCAU